rnacentral:lncRNA from 1 species
AAUGCAUUUUUAGUUUGGGAUAUGGAAAUGUAUUUUCUUCCUUCCUCCUUCCUUCUCCCUUCUUGACUUUUCUCUCUUGUCCCUUCAUCUUUUGUCUGAGCGCUCCCCUGUGUCCUUUUAGCUGCAACGGGCUUAAUCAGUGGCCCCGUCCCUGCUGGGCCCCAGCACAGGCAUGUGUCUUCAGCUGGAAGGCCUAAGGAAUCAUCAAGUUCAAAACCAGUGUCCUGACCUUACAUGCAGGGAGACCAAGGUUCGGUGAAGGAAGGAGCACACUCCUGACCCUUGACUUCCCUGGCUCCACUGCAGGCUACCAUCCUUCUAAAUCUUCAGUUUGCUGAAGCAGAGGACGCGUCAUGACAGGAAGCCGUCUCAGCAGGGGGAGCGCUCAGCCUUGGGCCCCACUGUCCAGCCCUAGAGUCUUCACUGGCAAAAUGGGUGCAGCCCUAACAGUUCUAACCUCCCGGGGCUGGGAGAAGAGCAGGUGCGUGUGGUCCUGUGACGUGAAAGUCUGAACUCUGUCAUGGGGUGUGGUGUCCCUGGGGCCUGGCUGGGAGCUUGGAGCCCAUCUCACACCCAGCCCCCAACCCCCAGCAGCGCGGUUUUCCACUUGCCUUGGUUCCUGCCUACAGGCCUGCCCUGCAGUUAUCUCCCUGCUCUGGGC